GACGAACGCUGGCGGCGUGCUUAACACAUGCAAGUCGAACGAUGAAGCGCCAGCUUGCUGGUGUGGAUUAGUGGCGAACGGGUGAGUAACACGUGAGUAACCUGCCCCCUACUCUGGGAUAAGCCUGGGAAACUGGGUCUAAUACUGGAUAUGACCAAUCACUGCAUGGUGUGUUGGUGGAAAGAUUCUUUGGUGGGGGAUGGACUCGCGGCCUAUCAGCUUGUUGGUGGGGUAAUGGCCUACCAAGGCGACGACGGGUAGCCGGCCUGAGAGGGCGACCGGCCACACUGGGACUGAGACACGGCCCAGACUCCUACGGGAGGCAGCAGUGGGGAAUAUUGCACAAUGGGCGAAAGCCUGAUGCAGCGACGCCGCGUGAGGGAUGACGGCCUUCGGGUUGUAAACCUCUUUCACCAGGGACGAAGCUAACGUGACGGUACCUGGAGAAGAAGCACCGGCUAACUACGUG
rnacentral:rRNA from 1 species